AGACAAACUACUGCGAAAGCAUUGCCAAGGAUGUUUUCAUUGAUCAAGAACGAAGGAAGGGGGAUCGAAAACGAUUAGAUACCGUUGUAGUCUCUUCUGUAAACUAUGCCAAUUGGGGAUCGGUACAGGAUUUUUAAUGACUGUAUCGGCACCCGAAGAGAAAUCUUUAAAUGAGGUUCGGGGGGGAGUAUGGUCGCAAGGCUGAAACUUAAAGGAAUUGACGGAAGGGCACCACCAGGUGUGGAGCCUGCGGCUUAAUUUGACUCAACACGGGGAAACUCACCAGGUCCAGACACAAUAAGGAUUGACAGAUUGAUAGCUCUUUCUUGAUCUUGUGGUUGGUGGUGCAUGGCCGUUCUUAGUUGGUGGAGUGAUUUGUCUGGUUAAUUCCGAUAACGAACGAGACCUUAACCUGCUAAAUAGACCAGCCGGCUUUGGCUAGCUGCUGUCUUCUUAGAGGGACUAUCAGCGUUUAGCUGAUGGAAGUUUGAGGCAAUAACAGGUCUGUGAUGCCCUUAGAUGUUCUGGGCCGCACGCGCGCUACACUGACAGAGCCAGCGAGUCUACCACCUUUGCCGGAAGGCAUGGGUAAUCUUGUGAAACUCUGUCGUGAUGGGGAUAGAACAUUGCAAUUAUUGUUCUUCAACGAGGAAUACCUAGUAAGCGUGAUUCAUCAGAUCGCGUUGAUUACGUCCCUGCCCUUUGUACACACCGCCCGUCGCUACUACCGAUUGAAUGGCUUAGUGAGGCCUCCGGAUUGGCUAUUGGGAGCUCGCGAGAGCACCCGACUGCCGAGAAGUUGUACAAACUUGGUCAUUAGAGGAAGUAAAAGUCGUA
rnacentral:rRNA from 1 species